CCUACGGGUGGCUGCAGUGAGGAAUAUUGGUCAAUGGACGAGAGUCUGAACCAGCCAAGUAGCGUGAAGGAUGACUGCCCUAUGGGUUGUAAACUUCUUUUAUAUGGGAAUAAAAUGAUCCACGUGUGGGAUUUUGUAUGUACUAUAUGAAUAAGGAUCGGCUAACUCCGUGCCAGCAGCCGCGGUAAUACGGAGGAUCCGAGCGUUAUCCGGAUUUAUUGGGUUUAAAGGGAGCGUAGGUGGAUUGUUAAGUCAGUUGUGAAAGUUUGCGGCUCAACCGUAAAAUUGCAGUUGAAACUGGCAGUCUUGAGUACAGUAGAGGUAGGCGGAAUUCGUGGUGUAGCGGUGAAAUGCUUAGAUAUCACGAAGAACUCUGAUUGCGAAGGCAGUUCACUGGACUGCAACUGACACUGAGGCUCGAAAGUGUGGGUAUCAAACAGGAUUAGAUACCCUAGUAGUC
rnacentral:rRNA from 1 species